rnacentral:rRNA from 1 species
ACGGAGGGUGCAAGCGUUAUCCGGAAUUAUUGGGUGUAAAGCGCGCGUAGGCGGCCCUGCAAGUCUGAUGUGAAAGCUCUGGGCUUAACCCGGGAAGUGCCUUGGAAACUGCAGGUCUUGAGUACUGGUGAGGAUGGGGGAAUUCCCGGUGUAGAGGUGAAAUUCUUAGAGAUCGGGAAGAAUAUCAGUGGCGAAGGCACCCAUCUGGACGGUAACUGACGCUGAGACGCGAAAGCGUGGGGAGCAAACAG